CCAAGGCAACAUAAGCCACAAAUAGAGUAGCCUUGCAAUAUGUGCUACUUCUGGUUGAGCAUCAUUUCGGAUUGGGCACCGCCUUAUAUCGAGUAUCAGUCCUAGACGACAUCUAGUUACUUCGGCCCACACAUGGACUGAAUUUCAAGUCUCCAGCCAAAAGACUUUUUUGACUGAAGACUUGGGGGACUACUGUUUGUACCAUACUUAGGGCCUCCAUAUUUAGAUCUCGUAUAAAUACUCGAAUGACUUAAAUGUAAUUAUGUAAUAAAGGAAGGGGCAAAUAUGUAAUAAGUGAGGAGCCCUUAUUCUAUAAAAGGACCCCUCAACUCUCCUCAUUAAGGGAUGCCAUUUCUUAAGCCUCCUCACAUCCCCUAAGCUCUAAGCUCUCUCAAAGCUCUCACUCUCAUAUUCAGAGCUCUCUCUCCCUCAUAAAUAUAAUAUCAAUGUGGACGUAGCCCAAACCUUGGGGUAAACCACGAUACAUCUUGUGUUAUUUACUUUCUUGCAGAUUCACGAUCGGAUUUACGUUGUUCCAAGACCCCUCUGGUUUUAUGCAUCAACAAAGCCAUCAACUGAUCCUUUUAAAACAAACAAACAAACAAAAACCAAAAAAAAAAAAAAAAAAGCACUGCCAAGAUACAAACUAAUUCUAAAAUAUGAGUCCAUUUGUUAAAAAAAAAAAUGAGUUCAUCAUGCACAUAAAUUAAAAUAUAAUUUUUUUUUUGCCGUACUCUCUCUCGUUUAAGCCGGCCUUCUCUAUUUUAUUCGAGGGAAAACCCUACUCAGUCCCUGACCAUGAAAACCCUAAAAAUUAGCAUUACACGUCGGAGCUGACUCAUAUAUAUCCACGUUGAUAUCCUCAAUGUGCUUUCUGCUACUUGUAGGCAAUGUGCUUUCUGCUACUUGUAGGCACCCCCAACGGUUCACAUCUAUCCCUUUAUUACUUUAUUAUUUUGGACGAUUUGUCUACAAAUUCUUUCAUUUCAUUCGUUUGGAUUUUGGAAUUCAAAAACCACUCGUUUCUUUUGAAUUAAUGGGAUACAAAAGUAACAAAACAUUACUAAUUAAUACUAGGGAGUAGGGAAAUUACACGGAUGGUCUAGUAAUUGGGACGAAUUUUAAGUUUCUAUUCCACACACCAUGCCCUGAGUCGAAUUCUGUUAUUGUGUGAACUACACGAUGGUGCAAAGGAGGAGACUGAAAUGCCUUUAUGAGUCUUUUCAACCUCCCAAAGAGUUAACUAACGUGAUUAAGCUACCAGUUGGUCCUUUUUCUUAGGGAAAACUAGGGAGUAGGGAUGAUGGCUUUGGUGUUAUAAUAAUGGAUUACCAAUUGAAAGAAAGGAUAGCUACGUACCUUCGUAUGUUUGUGUCGAUAAACACUUGAACUCGAUCGAGAGCUUUUAUAUUUGUUGAUUAGUUGCCUAGCUAUCAAGUCAUUUUUUUUAAUGCCAAGGACUGCAAGAAAUGUAUGAGAAAAACAUGCAUGUAUAAAAAAAUAAAAUUUACCAUUAUAAUUCUAAACCCAAGAAAAAUUCCAAAGUCAGUUGUUGAGAUGGAAUGGGUUUUAAGGCUAGGUCUCAUUAAUUAACCGAUGCGAUCAACUUGAAAGUUGUUUACGCGUAUGUGAGCAUUUGUCAAAAUAAUAAAGGUUCGUUUGGAUAUACUUUUAAAAUGACUGAAAGCUUUUAAAGCACUUAAAGUGCAUUAUGCAAGAAGCUAGUUAUGUGCUUCUUCCAGGAAGCAUUUUAAGUGUUUUUCCAGAUUUUUUUUGCAUUUUUACCAAAGAUUGGCUCCAAAAAUAUUUUCACCAAAAACACUUUCAGUCAUUUUAAAAGCACAACCAAACAAGUUCCAAUACGUUUAAUCAUCUACCACUGAUAGAGUAAAUAAAACCGACAAAAUAUAUUCAUCAACAAGAAGGUGAUCCUGAUUAGCCGGUUUUAUCAAUAAAACAUUCGAUGACAAUACUAAGUAGUUUUCUCUUAGCGACAAGAAGGUAACAGAUAAAAUAGUCUCCAACAAAUUAAAGAGAUAAAUCUCAAAAAAAAAAAAAAAAUGAAUAUACGAAAAGUAAAAUAAAAAAGAGUCCCACAUGUGAGGGGUGUGGGAGGAUGUCAAGGUAAAAUAGUCCUACAUCGGCGAAAGAAAACCUACAUGCAUACACGUUAGGUUUGUUUGUUCUAGCUAUUAGGGUUCUUAACUUAUAAAAGAACUAUAAGUUAAGAAACCUACAUUUCCAUCACUCAACCAUAGAAAACUAAUUAUAACUCUAUUUAGAAGAAGUCAACAUAUAUAUAGUAGAUAUUUAGGUUUUACAUACUCCACACGAUCCUCAACAACAACAAUCAUAAUUAGAGUUAACUCGAUGACAUACAUAAAGAGUAAUGAUUUUGGCAUUCUCUUUGACACUUCAGAUGAGCACUUUAUGAUUUUCAUGCAUUCCGAGUAAAGAGUGGUAGAAGCUAAACUACGAAUGUCAAAAUUGUUGCUCUCCCUAAAUUAGCAACAUUGUCAUAUAAUUGGCGACAUUGUCAAUCAAACACUGACAACAUAUAAUAAAAUUUCGAAAAUUGAUCAUUUUAACAAUUAAAAUUUGUAUGUUCAUCAUUUCAGCCAAUUUUUAAAAUUAUUAAACAGACGUAGGUUUUCAUAUUUAAUAUCACCCUCAAAGGAAAUCCCAUAAAUUGAUAAAGAGCAGGGUCGGUCCUAAGAAUUUAGGGAUCCUGUGCAAGAUUUAGAUGGAGGCCCUUCAUCUUUCUUAAUACUGUAUUUUCUUUGCUAUUUUUUUUUUCAAUUUGUAUCUAUAAAAUUUAAAUACUACAAAUUAGAGCACCAAAUUAUAAGUAUUAUUUGAGUGGACAAGAGCAUUUCUUGUUUUGAAAGGUUUUCAAUUAGAAAUAUGUUGCAUGGUUUUUUGUGUAAAACUUGUCAACUUUUUAAGUUAAUAAAUUUGAUAAACUUAAAAAUAGCAAAAUUGUUCCACAGGGACUCGUGGUUUUUUGUGUAAAACUUAUCAACUUUUUAAGUUAAUAAAUUUGCAAAACUUAAAAAUAGCAAAAUUGUACCACAAGGACCCAAGCCAUGUUCAAGAAAAUUAAAGGCCUACACCACUAGUGCUGGUACAGUAAUUAUUAUUAUCUUG
rnacentral:lncRNA from 1 species